UACGUAGGUGGCAAGCGUUGUCCGGAUUUACUGGGCGUAAAGAGCGCGCAGGCGGUCGGAUAAGUCGAAUGUGAAAGCCCCCGGCUCAACUGGGGAGGGUCAUUCGAUACUGUUCGACUCGAAGGCAGGAGAGGGAAGUGGGAAUUCCCGGUGUAGUGGUGAAAUGCGAUAGAUAUCGGGAGGAACACCAGUGGCGAAGGCGACUUCCUGGCCUGUUCUUGACGCUGAGGCGCGAAAGCUAGGGGAGCAAACGGGG
rnacentral:rRNA from 1 species